GAAGAUGUAGCCCAGUAGCAGAGCACUUGCCUAACAUGCAUGAGGUUCUGAGUUCAUUCCUUGGCAUCCCCC
rnacentral:tRNA from 1 species